rnacentral:sRNA from 1 species
AUUUUAAAAUUUUAUAAAUAUUGAUUCAAAUACAUCCACUAUAUAACCCAAUUCCAAAAUAGAACUCGUUCUGUAAUUUUUUUACCGUCCCGUGAUUUUUUUUAAAAAUAGUAAUUUUUAACAUUUAAGAAUAAUUUUUUAUAUAGAAAAGUUUUGCAAAUUGUAUCAUUCUCUAAUAUAUUUAUAUCUAUAGUUUAAUUUUAUAUAUAGUAACAUUAUACAUACCACAUAACAUUUUUGGUUUUAUAUAAUCUUUUCUAAAUUAGGAUGAUUUGAUAUGUUUAAUAUUAGUGGUCUUAAAAAAUAAUAAAUUAAAGAUUUAACCCGUAUUGAAACGGUGGAUUAAUUAUAUUUUACUUUUUUAUUAAUGUUGAUUCAAAAACCCGUCCCUCCAAAUCCGUCUUGCCAAAAAGCUAUUUAUUUUGUUAAUAUUAAUUUUAUUAAUGAUAUGACUCUGAAUUAGAAUCUAAACAUUUUAGCUAAUAACAUAGGAGUGCACCAUAUUUAUUUAAUAGGAGAAUGUACCAUAUGACCCGAAUGCACUUUUAUCCAAAUCCACCAAAAAAGUCUUGCAAAAAUACUAUAGAGAUAAGAAACGAUAGUCGGUUUUGAUAGAUAUAAGAUUAGCAAAUAUAUUAGUUAGCUUAAAUUAGUUAAAGAAUACAAAUUGAAAAAGUAUAUUACACUUUAUUCGAAUAUAGUAUCAAAACUUAUAUAACACAGAGAUUUGAUAAUUUUUUAAUUGAUGAAUACUUUUUUUGUGCUAAUUUUUAUGUGAUUAAUAUUUAAUUGAUUUCGUAUAUAAAAUAUUAAAUUGACUUAUUUGUUUAUAAUUUGGUAACAGAUAGAUAUUUGAAUAUUCAAUAUAUUUUGCUUCAGUUUAAAAAAUCUUUGAUGAUCCGUCUUUAGAUCCAAUAAGCCCUAUAAUCUAGAUAUUAACCUGCAGUAUAUAUUUUAGUUAAACUAAAAUUUUUUUAUUGUAAAGAUGAUUUAAAAAUAUUUGAUAUUAUUUUAUUUGAUUUUAAAUGUAUAGUAAACUGUGAGUUGUAUAUGUUUUGUUGAUAUUAUCUAUAUUGUUUAGUGUUUAAGAUUAUACACUUGUAGUUUGAUUGUUAAUUUAAGAGUUUCACCUGUAGUAUACCAUUUUGUAUUAAUAUCGAUCUAAACAUGCAAUUCUAGGAUUUCCAACUUGUAUAAAAAAAUUGAAUCACAUCUAAUAUGUUAUUAAUUAUUGUAGUAUAUAAGAUUAUAAAUUUUCAAUAUAAUAUGUAUGAAAUUGAAUAUAAAUAUUUCAAAUUAUGACUCGUUACUCAGUAGAAAGUUUUCUUAAAUCUAUUUGUUACCCGUUAUAAUAUUUUUUUAUGUAUUGAACAGUUUAUAUUUGUUUUUAAAAAUUCAAAUUAUGGCAUAUGGGAAAAACUCUAAUUAUUUUUUUAUAAUGAUGAUAUUAUUUUUCCGCAAAAAUAGAAUCAUAUAAAGAUGAGAAGUGAACUAUAAUAAUUAAUAAAAAAUUAAUAUGAUAAUUUAGAUAUCAAAUAUAAUUUGUUGAUUUUAAUUGGUUACUUUUUUGGAAAUUAAUAAUGUAUUUCGUUUUUCUAAUUAAAUUAAAUUAAUUAAAAUUUAGAUAUCAAAUCUUAUAUGUUGAUUUUUAUUG